AUUGAACGCUGGCGGCAUGCCUUACACAUGCAAGUCGAACGGCAGCACGGACUUCGGUCUGGUGGCGAGUGGCGAACGGGUGAGUAAUAUAUCGGAACAUACCUUGUAGUGGGGGAUAACUAUCCGAAAGGAUAGCUAAUACCGCAUACGCUCUAAGGAGGAAAGCGGGGGAUCGUAAGACCUCGUGCUAUAAGAGUGGCCGAUAUCUGAUUAGCUAGUUGGUGAGGUAAAGGCUCACCAAGGCGACGAUCAGUAGCUGGUCUGAGAGGACGACCAGCCACACUGGAACUGUGACACGGUCCAGACUCCUACGGGAGGCAGCAGUGGGGAAUUUUGGACAAUGGGGGCAACCCUGAUCCAGCAAUGCCGCGUGAGUGAAGAAGGCCUUCGGGUUGUAAAGCUCUUUUGUCAGGGAAGAAACGGUUGUGGCUAAUAUCCAUGGCUAAUGACGGUACCUGAAGAAUAAGCACCGGCUAACUACGUGCCAGCAGCCGCAGUAAAAC
rnacentral:rRNA from 1 species